GGAUGCUAGAUCUGGUACUGGAUCGGGAACUGGAUCUGGAACUGGAUCUGGUGCCGGAUCUGGUACUGGUGGAUCUGGUGCUAUGCGAGGCCCGGAUGUAAGGACCCUCUACUUCACACGCACGCCAAGAAAUGCAGGAAGGUAGGAUGAUGUCUGUAUAGUGCAAAAACCCUUUUGCAAAUAAACCCCUGGAAGAAAAGA
rnacentral:lncRNA from 1 species